UGGGGAAUCUUCCGCAAUGGACGAAAGUCUGACGGAGCAACGCCGCGUGAGUGAUGACGGCCUUCGGGUUGUAAAGCUCUGUUAAUCGGGACGAAUGGUUCUUGUGCAAAUAGUGCGAGGAUUUGACGGUACCGGAAUAGAAAGCCACGGCUAACUACGUGCCAGCAGCCGCGGUAAUACGUAGGUGGCAAGCGUUGUCCGGAAUUAUUGGGCGUAAAGCGCGCGCAGGCGGAUUGGUCAGUCUGUCUUAAAAGUUCGGGGCUUAACCCCGUGAUGGGAUGGAAACUGCCUAUCUAGAGUAUCGGAGAGGAAAGUGGAAUUCCUAGUGUAGCGGUGAAAUGCGUAGAUAUUAGGAAGAACACCAGUGGCGAAGGCGACUUUCUGGACGAAAACUGACGCUGAGGCGCGAAAGCCAGGGGAGCGAACGGG
rnacentral:rRNA from 1 species